AUACCCGCUCCGCGAGUGGUGGGGACUUUUACUGGGCUUAAAGCGCCCGUAGCCGGCUGGGUGUGUCCUCCGUUAAAUCCACAGGCCUAACCUGUGGGCUGCGGGGGAUACUACCCGGCUUGGGGGUGGGAGAGGGCGGCGGUAUUCCCGGGGUAGGGGUAAAAUCCACUGACCCCGGGAGGACCACCAGUGGCGAAGGCGGCCGCCCAGAACACGCCCGACGGUGAGGGGCGAAAGCUGGGGGAGCAAACGGGAUUAGAAACCCUAGUAGUCC
rnacentral:rRNA from 1 species